rnacentral:rRNA from 1 species
GACGAACGCUGGCGGCGUGCUUAACACAUGCAAGUCGAACGAAAAGAGGGAAAGAGCUUGCUCUUUCCGGAAUUGAGUGGCAAACGGGUGAGUAACACGUAAACAACCUGCCUUCAGGAUGGGGACAACAGACGGAAACGACUGCUAAUACCGAAUAAGUUCCAAGGGCCGCAUGGCCCAUGGAAGAAAAGGUGGCCUCUACCUGUAAGCUAUCGCCUGAAGAGGGGUUUGCGUCUGAUUAGCUGGUUGGAGGGGUAACGGCCCACCAAGGCGACGAUCAGGGGGCCGCUAGGAGGGGAUAAGGGGCCACCUUGAAACGGAACCCGGGCCCAGCCCCCUGGGGGAGGCGGCAGGGGGGAUUCUUCCGAAAGGGGGGAAGGCGUGAGGGAGCAAGGCCGCGUGAGUGAGGAGGGCCUUGGGGUUGAAAACCUCUGGGGGCGGGGACGAAAAGGCAGGGGGCGAAGAAAAAACUGCAUGGAGGGUCCCGGAAAAGAAAGCCACGGCUAACUACGGG